rnacentral:rRNA from 1 species
GUACCUGCAUAAAACGUCCUCGCUAACUACCUGCCUUUAGCCGCGGUAUUACGUACGGCGCAAGCGUUAUCCGGAAUUAUUGGGCGUAAAUACCUCGUAUGCGGUUUGUCUCGUCUGCUGUGAAAUCCGGAGGCUCAACCUCCGGCCUGCAGUGGGUACGGGCAGACUUGAUUGCGGUAGGGGAGAUUGGAAUUCCUGGUGUAGCGGUGGAAUGCGCAGAUUCAGGAGGAACACCGAUGGCGAAGGCAUAUCUCUGGGCCGCAACUGACCCUGAGGAGCGAAAGGGUGGGGAGCAAA